GACCAAUCAGCAUGCACUUCCUCCCUUCUGAACCCAUAAAAACCCCGCUCCCCGGACGCAGCCGGAGUCACGCGAAGUCGGAAGUACCAGCUGCGGGAAGGAGCUGCCCACUGUGCGUCUUCUCAACUUGUUGGGACAACCUUCCUGCGGAAAGGAGAGACAACCUUCCUGCAGAAAGGAGCUACCUGCUUCAGGUCUACUGAGAGCUGUUCUGCCACUCAAUAAAGCUCUUCUCCAUCUUGCUAAGCCUCCAUUUGUCCGCAAUACCUCAUCUCCCUGGACGCAGGACAAGAACUCAGGACCCGCCUGGAGGUACUAAAAGUGCCCACAGCAGAAUCCACAUGCCGUCCAUCUGGUCCAGCCUCACGCAGAGCCACAACUGUGCUGGCGCCUGGAGCUGCCAGCCCCACUGCAGCAGCCGGACUGACAUUCAGACGUGGAGCAAGUUGGACUGCAUAGGGACCCACCAGUGAGAUGGACGCUGUCUGUAAACGGUUCUCCAGGGAGGCUGCUCUGCCAAGUCUGGUAUUUCAUGAAUAGAUCUGAAAACAGACAUUAUCUCUUCUCCCAGUGAAGAGAGAGCGAUGAAGCCUCAGGACAAAAGGAGGCAGUGGGAUGAUGCCACCAAGGGACCAUUCUGAAGAGCCAUCAGCAAAAAGCAGCCACACCUGCUUAUGUGGCUCUGGGACAAAUGAUCUGAGCCGUGACGUGGAACUUAGAUGCAGUAAAGUCCAUUGUAUUGAGCCUUCUCUGGCACUCCUCCCAAAACAGAGAGACAACAGUUCUGUUAUGUUUUGUUUGGUUUGGUCUCCCUCAACUCAUCAAUGAGCCUUUUUAAAAAGAAUAAUUCGGUACUUUCUUUAAAGGUGGUAGAAUUGGCUCUUACUCUAGUCUGUUUUCUCCUUCCUAAGGGAGGAGCAUCCUUCUUGUUAACACAGAACCCCAAACUAUCUGAUCAGAAAGAAAAUAAUUCAAUCUGCUGUUUGAAUUGACUUCCAGCAGCGUCUUAAAUUUUAAUUGGCCCCCGGCCUAAAACAACCUCAAACUGUAUGUCUUCCAUACUCCUCUCACCACCACCAUCACCACUGCCCCUACAACCACUCUAAGCAUAGUACAUAUGGUGAACAUACCAUGAUAUUGAAUGCUAUUCUCACUCUGCCUUCUCUUAAUCUGAUCUUACUCAGGUUCUGACAGUUGACGCUGAAAACAUUUUUUGUUGUUGUUGUGGUUGAGACAGAGUUUCGCACUUGUUGCCCAGGCUGGAGUACAGUGGUGCGAUCUCGGCUCACUGCAACCUCCGCCUCCCGGGUUCAAGUGAUUCUCCUGCCUCAGCUCCCCAAGUAGCUGGGAUUACAGGCAUGUGCCACCAUGCCUGACUAAGUUUGUAUUUUUAGUAGAGACGGGGUUUCUCCAUGUUGGUCAGGCUGAUCUCGAACUCCCGACCUCAGGUGAUCCGCCUGCCUCGGCCUCCCAAAGUGCUGGGAUUACUGGUGUGAGCCACCAUGCCCGGCCAUGACACUGAAAACAUUUUAAAGGAGAAACAGAUUACCAAUUAUCCAUAAAGAUGAGAAUUAUCUGGCAACAUUUUGGUUAGAUGAAAACUGUGACUAGAGAGCUAACAAAAACAAACACAAUGAGCACUAGAUAUCUGCCAGGCAUUGUUCACAGCCCCUUUUUUGGUCUCAUCUGAUCCUUGCUGUAGAUCAGGAAUCAACAAACUAAGCUUUCACCACUUGUCAGGGGUAAAGCCAUGUCAGUCUGAGUCCCAAUGCCACACUGUUAGCCACUCUCCCACACCACCUGCUCCAACUAUUUGAAGAAGGAGAAUGUUUUUCCAGUUAAUAAAGUUAAUAGUUAAAAACUGAAGGAUGCUCUUUGUUUUUUAACUUUUAUUAUUAACCAAAACUUGAAAAUAUAUAUCCUCCCCCAGUGAUACCUCUAUUUAGAAUAUUAGAAUGGAUAUUUGGUACUUAGCCUUCUAUUUUCCUGGAUGAGUAAUAUUUUGAGGCCUGUGCAGUUGUUUAAGAUACAGAUCAUUCUGUCUCAUACCAAGAGGGAGUUUCCAUGCUCUUCUGUGUUGGGCUGGCCUUGUAAGUUUAUUUUAAUAUGGUAUUAGCAUCCAUCGUCACCACUAAUUGCUGUUUACUAAGGAAUCACACAGUGCCUGCCGUGUACAUCAGAAACACACUUGACUGAGCUUACUCUUCACUAGGAAGCAGGAGGCAAAAAUAUGAAUUAGCUUCUUUUUAUGCAUGUGAAGAUGCUUGUCUGUCUUUACUACUUCCCAGGAAUACUGCCAGUGAGGAAUGCUCUGGAAUUCUAAUCUAUUAGUACUGAAUAACAUAAUAAAACUGACAUGAAUACAAAUGACAAGGUGUAGUUUACACAUCCUGGUAUUAAUCUCAAGAGCCUGAGCACUCACAUGAA
rnacentral:lncRNA from 10 species